CGUCUCUUCUUCUCACUCAGCGGCAGCAUCAGUUUCUCGAUUCUCUUAGGGUUUGAAUCGAGAUUGAAUAUCAGUAAUAUCAGUGGAUCACCAUCUCUAUCAGGAUUCAGAUAUUGAGAAGAUUAGUCCAAAGGCCAAAGCAGAGAAGAAGGAAGAAUUAGAUUUUUGGGGUUCUCAAGUACUGCACAAUGGCUUGUGGCUGAACCGCUGAACGCUUAAGGAUCGUGAUUU